GUGGGGAAUAUUGGACAAUGGGCGAAAGCCUGAUCCAGCCAUGCCGCGUGUGUGAAGAAGGUCUUCGGAUUGUAAAGCACUUUAAGUUGGGAGGAAGGGCAGUAAGUUAAUACCUUGCUGUUUUGACGUUACCGACAGAAUAAGCACCGGCUAACUUCGUGCCAGCAGCCGCGGUAAUACGAAGGGUGCAAGCGUUAAUCGGAAUUACUGGGCGUAAAGCGUGCGUAGGUGGUUUUGUAAGUUGGAGGUGAAAUCCCCGGGCUCAACCUGGGAACUGCCUCCAAAACUGCAUGACUAGAGUACGGUAGAGGGUAGUGGAAUUUCCUGUGUAGCGGUGAAAUGCGUAGAUAUAGGAAGGAACACCAGUGGCGAAGGCGACUACCUGGACUGAUACUGACACUGAGGUGCGAAAGCGUGGGGAGCAAACAGGAUUAGAAACCCCAGUAGUCC
rnacentral:rRNA from 1 species